AAUUAGAUCAGGUUUGGAUGAAGCAGUCUGGGCUUUUAUAUACGAAAUCAUCCUAAACCAACUUACAAAUUGCCACCCCUAGAUCCCUACAAUUUCAAUAUCCACACACCACCACCUAAUUAGUCAAAAUAUCAAAAAAACUCUUUCAAUAGGAAAAAAAAAAGAAAAACAAAAAGUAAGGACAAAUUUAUUUUCCAAAAGAAAAGGACAAUGGCAUAUUUAUCUUUUUACCAAACUAACUAGCAAAUAUCAAUUAGAUAUGGUACUAGGCAAUGAUUAAGUGGGG
rnacentral:lncRNA from 1 species